rnacentral:rRNA from 1 species
CCCUACGGGGGGCAGCAGUGAGGAAUAUUGGUCAAUGGGAGAGAUCCUGAACCAGCCAAGCCGCGUGAGGGAAGACGGCCCUAUGGGUUGUAAACCUCUUUUGUCGGAGAACAAAACCCGGGACGUGUCCCGGACUGCGUGUAUCCGAAGAAAAAGCAUCGGCUAACUCCGUGCCAGCAGCCGCGGUAAUACGGAGGAUGCGAGCGUUAUCCGGAUUUAUUGGGUUUAAAGGGUGCGUAGGCGGUCCGUUAAGUCAGCGGUAAAAUUGCGGGGCUCAACCCCGGCGAGCCGGUGAAACUGGCAGA